CAACUACUCCCUCUGUCCCAAAUUUCUUGUCUUAGAUUUGUCUAGAUAUGGAUGUAUCAAUCUAAGAUAAGAAUUUUGGGACGGAGGGAGUACUUU
rnacentral:pre_miRNA from 1 species